CAACUUUCAGCAACGGAUCUCUUGGCUCUCGCAUCGAUGAAGAACGCAGCGAAAUGCGAUAAGUAAUGUGAAUUGCAGAAUUCAGUGAAUCAUCGAAUCUUUGAACGCACCUUGCGCUCCUUGGUAUUCCGAGGAGCAUGCCUGUUUGAGUGUCAUUAAUAUA
rnacentral:rRNA from 2 species